CACAGGAAAUCCACUUUGGCCCCGAACGGCGCCAGACACGCCCACCACGAAGUACAAGUUGCGCCCUUCGAGCAGCCACGUGAGAAGCGACGAGAGAGUAGACAUGCGCAAAUUUUCUCCACCCUGCAGGCUUUCAUCUGGUUCGCUGCACCUUCUGUUGGCGUUGUUGACGUUUAAACACAUGUACUUCACAGUUCACCUUGCACUCUCAUACAUAACUACAUUGAGACCCACUGAUUUCUGUGGGGUUUACUUCCAGGCUCAACAAUAGAAGAGGGAGGAGUUAAACCACGCGGUCUGUUGAAGAAAGCGGGGAGCGGGAGGAGCAGUGAUGCCUGAAAUAGACCAUCCCCUGGCUAGCCCGGCCGGCAUUGAAAAGCAUCCGUCCGCGCGAGAAGGCGAAAAAUUCCCACGUGGCAUGGGAAGAUGGAGUCGUACUACAGAGAAAGAUACAGGAUCAGUCCCAGGCCCUGAACCUGGCAACCCUAAUAUUGGAAUUCUAGUUUGAAAAAAAAAUCUAAAGAAGCAUAAGGACAAAAAAUUUGCCACUGAAGAAGACAAAAAUGUUGAAACACAUCUGGCUGUUACAUGUUUUUAGGAGCACUUAUUUUUAAGUGGGAUAAAGAAAUGCUUUCUUUAUAUUUAUUUAUACUAUUCAUUUUAUUCGAUGGAAAGUUAAAACUAUAUGUUUAUAUGGAUUUUUAGUUGUAUGUUUUAUCUUAACUCUGUUCUUAACAAAAUGCUACUUGAAAAGGAUAGUAAAACUUUUUUCCUUUGUGUGUACAACCUGGAUGUAUUAGCACUUGGCUAUCAAACAAGCCUGCUUCCAAAUAUUCUCUCAUCCUCUGUUUUGCUUGAUUUAAUAACAUACACAGAUAGAAUGUUGUUUGUGUACUGUUAUGAUUUUAAUCAAUUAACAUUGACUGUGGAGUAUUUUAGCCCCGUGUCAUCAUUUCAAAUCUAGAGCUUAGUUUUUAUCAUUGGUAAUUUAAUAUUUUUAUUAGAAAGAAAUAACCAAGUUUUAAAACCAUGAAAUGUAGUAAAAUACUCUUUGAUUGGUAUAAAUUUAUGCAGACAAAAAGAAGCUCUAAAUAGCUGAAAACAGGGAUAUAAUUUUAUUGCUUGAUCUCUGUCUUCAAACUUGUUCUUUGGUGCUUAACAUGUGAAUGAGGAAACAACUGUCCUGGACAUAGUCUACUUGGAUAACAUUAUUUUUGCCUGAAAAGAAAUAGGCACACUACCACAUAUUAUUUUAACUGCAUUAGAUACAACAGAAUUAAUAGAAAACUAAUAUACUGUAUUCAUGUAGGAAAACUUAUUUAAGUACUAGUACAUAACAAUUAAUAAAAGGCAUUUAUUUGUU